rnacentral:rRNA from 1 species
UACGUAGGGUGCAAGCGUUGUCCGGAAUUAUUGGGCGUAAAGAGCUUGUAGGCGGUUUGUCGCGUCUGCUGUGAAAUUUCGGGGCUCAACCCCGAACUUGCAGUGGGUACGGGCAGACUAGAGUGUGGUAGGGGAGACUGGGAUUCCUGGUGUAGCGGUGAAAUGCGCAGAUAUCAGGAGGAACACCGAUGGCGAAGGCAGGUCUCUGGGCCAUAACUGACGCUGAGAAGCGAAAGCAUGGGGAGCGAACAGG